rnacentral:rRNA from 1 species
UGCAAGUCGAACGGUAACGCGGACUUCGGUCUGGCGACGAGUGGCGAACGGGUGAGUAAUGCAUCGGAACGUAUCCAUUUGUGGGGAGUAGCCGGCGAAAGACCGGAUUAAUACCGCAUAAUCUCUGAGGAGGAAAGUGGGGACCGUUCGGGCCGUUACGCUGAUGGAGCGGCCGAUGUCGGAUUAGCUAGUUGGUAGGGUAAAGGCCUACCAAGGCGACGAUCCGUAGCUGGUCUGAGAGGACGACCAGCCACACUGGAACUGAGACACGGUCCAGACUCC